rnacentral:rRNA from 1 species
GUCCAGGGCUACACACGUGCUACAAUGGACGGUACAGAGGGUAGCGAUAUCGCGAGAUGGAGCCAAUACCCAAAAAGCCGUUCCCAGUUCGGAUUGGAGUCUGCAACUCGACUCCAUGAAGUUGGAAUCGCUAGUAAUCGCGGAUCAGCAUGCCCGCGGUCGAAUACGUUCCGGCCUU